rnacentral:rRNA from 1 species
GCGGUAUUUGUCUUUCGGGACAGAGAGAGCGGCGUACGGGUGCGGAACACGUGUGCAACCUACCUUUAUCAGGGGGAUAGCCUUUCGAAAGGAAGAUUAAUACCCCAUAAUAUAUUGAUUGGCAUCAGUUAAUAUUGAAAACUCCGGUGGAUAGAGAUGGGCACGCGCAAGAUUAGAUAGUUGGUAGGGUAACGGCCUACCAAGUCAGUGAUCUUUAGGGGGCCUGAGAGGGUGAUCCCCCACACUGGUACUGAGACACGGACCAGACUCCUACGGGAGGCAGCAGUGAGGAAUAUUGGACAAUGGGUGAGAGCCUGAUCCAGCCAUCCCGCGUGAAGGACGACGGCCCUAUGGGUUGUAAACUUCUUUUGUAUAGGGAUAAACCUNNNCNCGUGNGNNNAGCUGAAGGUACUAUACGAAUAAGCACCGGCUAACUCCGUGCCAGCAGCCGCGGUAAUACGGAGGGUGCAAGCGUUAUCCGGAUUUAUUGGGUUUAAAGGGUCCGUAGGCGGAUCUGUAAGUCAGUGGUGAAAUCUCAUAGCUUAACUAUGAAACUGCCAUUGAUACUGCAGGUCUUGAGUAAAGUAGAAGUGGCUGGAAUAAGUAGUGUAGCGGUGAAAUGCAUAGAUAUUACUUAGAACACCAAUUGCGAAGGCAGGUCACUAUGUUUUAACUGACGCUGAUGGACGAAAGCGUGGG